ensembl:lncRNA
CGCCGUUUUGGGGGCGUUUUUGGGGCGAAAAACGGAGAAAUGAGGACAAAAAACGGCGCGGAGGUUUUACUGCGGGGGGGGCGGGGCGGCCAACUGCGCUUCCACGGACCUGAGGGCAAAGGGGGGCAGCGGCACUUAGGGGGCAGCCCCACACUUAGGGGGCGGACCCCCACUUAUGGGGCGGACCCCCACUUAGGGGGCAGCCCCAUACUUAGGGGGCAGCCCCACGCUUAGGGGGCAGCCCCACUUAUAAGCCGUACUCCCACUUAUGGGGCAGCCUCACUUAUGGGUCAGACCCCCACUUAUGGGGCAGCCCCACACUUAUGGGUCAGCCCCACUUAUAAGCCGUACUCCCACUUAUGGGGCAGCCUCACUUAUGGGUCAGACCCCCACUUAUGGGUCAGACACCCACUUAGGGGGCAGCCCCACACUUAGGGGGCGGACCCCCACUUAUGGGGCGGACCCCCACUUAUGGGGCAGCCCCACACUUAUGGGUCAGUCUCCCACUUAUGGGUUGGACCCACACUUAUGGGUCAGACACCCACUUAGGGGGCAGCCCCACACUUAUGGGGCGGACCCCCACUUAUGGGGCAGCCCCACACUUAUGGGUCAGCCCCACACUUAUGGGUCAGUCUCCCACUUGUGGGUUGGACCCACACUUAUGGGUCAGACACCCACUUAGGGGGCAGCCCCACACUUAGGGGGCAGCCCCACACUUAUGGGGCGGACCCCCACUUAUGGGGCAGCCCCACACUUAUGGGUCAGCCCCACACUUAUGGGUCAGUCUCCCACUUAUGGGUUGGACCCACACUUAUGGGUCAGACACCCACUUAUGGGGCAGCCCCAUACUUAGGGGGCAGCCCCACGCUUAGGGGGCAGCCCCACUUAUAAGCCGUACUCCCACUUAUGGGGCAGCCUCACUUAUGGGUCAGACCCCCACUUAUGGGUCAGACACCCACUUAGGGGGCAGCCCCACACUUAGGGGGCAGACCCCCACUUAUGGGGCGGACCCCCACUUAUGGGGCAGCCCCACACUUAGGGGGCAGCCCCACGCUUAGGGGGCAGCCCCACUUAUAAGCCGUACUCCCACUUAUGGGGCAGCCUCACUUAUGGGUCAGACCCCCACUUAUGGGUCAGACACCCACUUAGGGGGCAGCCCCACACUUAGGGGGCGGACCCCCACUUAUGGGCGGACCCCCACUUAUGGGUCAGACACCCACUUAGGGGGCAGCCCCACACUUAGGGGGCGGCCCCACACUUAGGGGGUGGACCCACACUUAGGGGGCAGAAUCCCACUUAUGGGUCGGAUCCCCACUUAUAGGGCAGCCCCACACUUAUGGGGCAGCCUCACACUUACAGGUCAGACCCCACUUAUGGGGCAGCCCCACACUUAUGGGUCAGCCCCACUUAUAAGCUGUACUCCCACUUAUGGGGCACCCUCACUUAUGGGUCAGACCCCCACUUAUGGGGCAGCCCCACACUUAGGGGGCGGACUCCCACUUAUGGGGCGGAUCCCACUUAUGGGUCAGACCCCACUUAGGGGUUGGACCCCACUUGGGGGUCAGCCCCACAGUUAUGGGGCAGCCCCACUUAUAGGCCAUACCCCCACUUAAGGGUCAGACCCCCACUUAUGGGUCAGACCCUCACUUAGGGGGCAGCCCCCACUUAUGGGUCGGACCCCCACUUAUGGGUCAGACCCCCACUUAUGGGUCAGCCCCCCACUUACAGGUCGGACCCACACUUAUGGGUCAGACCCCUACUUAUGGGUCAGACCCCCACUUAUGGGGCAGCCCCACACCUCAGCAUCCCCCGCAGUCUCCGCCGUCGAUCCCUCAGCGCCUGCAGCACCGCAUCCUCCGCCGCCUCCGCCUCAUCCGAAUCUGUGGGGCACAGAGCAAAUGUGGGGCAGCACAUGUGGGGCUGCCCCAUAAGUGGGGGUCAGACCCAUAAGUGUGGGGCUGCCCCGUAAGUUGGAGGCUGCCCCAUAAGUGUGGGGCUGCCCCCUAAGUGUGGCUCUGCCCCAUAAGUGGGGCCUGCCCCCUAAGUGUGGCUCUGCCCCAUAAGUGGGGGCUGACCCCUAAGUGUGGCUCUGCCCCAUAAGUGUGCGUAUGGCCUAUAAGUGGGGGUCAGACCCCUAAGUGUGGGGCUGCCCCAUAAGUGGGGGCCGCCCCAUAAGCGUGGGUCUGACCCAUAAGUGAGGGUGACCCCUAAGUGUGGCUCUGCCCCAUAAGUGAAGAGCUGACCCACAAGUGAGUGUGCGGUCUAUAAGUGGGCUGACCCGUAAGUGUGGCUCUGCCCCAUAAGUGUGGGGCUGCCCCAUAAGUGCUCUCAGUUCUCACCCAUUGCUUCCUGCAGCAGUUCGAUGGCGGCCGCUUUCUGCCCCACGGCGCUGCCCCACGGCGCUGGAGGGAUGGUCUGCCCCAUAGAAACACACUGACCCACAGCUCCGCCCCAUAGAUCCUACAGUUCUGCCCCAUAGAUCCACAGCUCUGCCCCAUAGACCCACAUCUCCACCCCACAGAUCUACAGUUCUGC